rnacentral:tRNA from 1 species
UCCCUGUUAUCUCAACUGGUAAAGAAUCCACCUGUAAUGCAGAAAAUCCUGGUUCAAUUCCUGGGUGGGGAA